CUUGUGCAAAAGCGCCUUCACCACCAGAGCAGUCUCGCACAACAGCGCCCUCUUGUAACUGAAUGUUUAUAAUCGUCCAAUCCUUAUGAAAAUAUGUUGUUUCAAGUUAAUUCUUGGUCUGUGAAAUCAUUGUUUGUGACUCCUAAUCAUCAGUUGCCCGAAUCAUCCAAUCAACAGGUUAGUUAUAAAUUCCUCUGUGCCUGAAUUACAGAAAGAACCGAGUUGACUUUGGACCGAGUCGACUUUGGACCGAGUUGAGCUGGGACCGAGUUGAGCUGGGACCGAGUUGAGCUGGGACCGAGUUGAGCUGGGACCGAGUUGAGCUGUGACCGAGUUGACCUGGGACCAAGUUGACCUGGGACUGAGAUGACCUGGGACAAAGUUGAGCUAGGACGGAGUUGAGCUGGGACCGAGUUGAGCUGGGACCGAGUUGAGCUGUGACCGAGUUGACCUGGGACCAAGUUGACCUGGGACUGAGAUGACCUGGGACAAAGUUGAGCUAGGACGGAGUUGAGCUGGGACCGAGUUGAGCUGGGACCGAGUUGAGCUGGGACCGAGUUGACCUAGGACCGAGUUGAGCUGAUACCGAGUAAACCUGGGGCCGAGAUGACCUGGGACCGAGUUGAGCUGGGACAAAGUUGACCUGGGACCGAGUUGACCUGGGUCGGAGAUGACAUGGGACCGAGUUGAGCUGGGACCAAGUUGACCUGGGACCGAGUUGAGCUGGGACCAAAUUGGUUUGGGACCAAGCUAGUAUAGCCUCUAUUGUAAACAGGAAUCAAGAGUCCUAAACCAGGCACCACAGCAGUCAUCUUGGCUGGAAGUUGGAUGAGGCUAUGGAGAAGACAAUUGGAGAAGAGGCUUGUUGUAUGACACAAGUAAUGGUGAAGCCAUCAUCGGUCUCCAGCAGCUCAUUCUCAGGUCCUAGGAAAUAACUCGUAGCCGUUGCCAAGAUUCUAUUGAUGUUUGCAGCGACCAUGAGAUCUUCAUUGAUGGUUUAAGAAAAACACCACAAUAUUACUUGCAUGGUUGUCACACUCCUUGAAUUUUGGUAUUUUUGGCAAAUUAAGAAAUAAAAUAGCAGAGGGAAUGAAAAUUGGGUACUAUUAACAGCAAAUAAGGCUGACAUCGAAAAGGCAAGUUAACAGGCAUAUCUGAAGGCAGACAACAUAUGUCCCACUUUUAGAGGGGGUGGGGGGUUUCCCCAGAUUUUUGUUUUACAAAAGAAAAAGAAAACAGAAAGGAGGAAAAAUAAAGUAAAAGGUCAGUAGCCAUUACGAAAAUGUAAAGUGGACGUCAAAUUCCCAGGAUAAUUGACAAACUUAUAUUUUUGUUUUAUUUGUUCCACAUAUGGAACUUCUCUCAAAAUGUAUUUAAUGAAUAAAAUGUAUUAAUUGAAUAAAAUACCUUGAACUUAAAAGUGGAGAAAACCAGA